rnacentral:rRNA from 1 species
ACGAACGCUGGCGGCGUGCCUAAUACAUGCAAGUCGAGCGAAGUUGUUCUGGUGCUUGCACUAGAAAAACUUAGCGGCGAACGGGUGAGUAACACGUAAAGAACCUGCCUCAUAGACUGGGACAACUAGUGGAAACGAUAGCUAAUACCGGAUAACAGUAUUUCUCGCAUGAGAGAUAUUUAAAAGGUGGUUAUGCUAACACUAUGAGAUGGCUUUGCGGUGCAUUAGCUAGUUGGUGGGGUAAAGGCCCACCAAGGCGACGAUGCAGAGCCGACCUGAGAGGGUGAUCGGCCACACUGGGACUGAGACACGGCCCAGACUCCUACGGGAGGCAGCAGUAGGGAAUCUUCCGCAAUGGGCGAAAGCCUGACGGAGCAACGCCGCGUGAGUGAAGAAGGAUUUCGGUUCGUAAAGCUCUGUUGUUAGGGAAGAAUGGAUAUGUAGUAACUAUACAUGUAAGAGACGGUACCUAACCAGAAAGCCACGGCUAACUACGUG